GGGAAAUGAGAAGAGGGGCCCGCCUCAGGCCCCACAACAAACUGGGGCA
rfam:Gorilla gorilla gorilla genomic chromosome, chr7, whole genome shotgun sequence